AGUGAACGCUGGCGGUAGGCCUAACACAUGCAAGUCGAACGGCAGCACAGUAAGAGCUUGCUCUUACGGGUGGCGAGUGGCGGACGGGUGAGGAAUACAUCGGAAUCUACUUUUUCGUGGGGGAUAACGUAGGGAAACUUACGCUAAUACCGCAUACGACCUACGGGUGAAAGCAGGGGAUCUUCGGACCUUGCGCGAUUGAAUGAGCCGAUGUCGGAUUAGCUAGUUGGCGGGGUAAAGGCCCACCAAGGCGACGAUCCGUAGCUGGUCUGAGAGGAUGUUCGCCACCCUUGAAACUGAGACACGGCCCAGAUCCCUACGGAGGGCGCAGUGGGGAAAUUUUGGACAAGGGGGGCAAGCUUGUCCAGGCCAACCGGGUGGGGGGAAGAAGGCUUUGGGUUUGUAAAGCCUUUUUGUUGGGAAAAAAAGGCGCCAGGUUAAAACCCCGCUGUCUGACGGUACCCAAAGAAUAAGCACCGGCUAACUUCGUG
rnacentral:rRNA from 1 species